rnacentral:rRNA from 1 species
UGGGGAAUAUUGGACAAUGGGCGAAAGCCUGAUCCAGCCAUGCCGCGUGUGUGAAGAAGGUCUUCGGAUUGUAAAGCACUUUAAGUUGGGAGGAAGGGCAGUAAGUUAAUACCUUGCUGUUUUGACGUUACCGACAGAAUAAGCACCGGCUAACUCUGUGCCAGCAGCCGCGGUAAUACAGAGGGUGCAAGCGUUAAUCGGAAUUACUGGGCGUAAAGCGCGCGUAGGUGGUUUGUUAAGUUGGAUGUGAAAUCCCCGGGCUCAACCUGGGAACUGCAUUCAAAACUGACAAGCUAGAGUAUGGUAGAGGGUGGUGGAAUUUCCUGUGUAGCGGUGAAAUGCGUAGAUAUAGGAAGGAACACCAGUGGCGAAGGCGACCACCUGGACUGAUACUGACACUGAGGUGCGAAAGCGUGGGGAGCAAACAGGAUUAGAUACCCGUGUAGUCCCUGAGCGGGCUGGCAAGGCGCAU